rnacentral:lncRNA from 1 species
GUUCUGAUACUCAUACUAGCUCUGUGACCAUAGGCAAGUCAGUCUCCACUCUCUGGCCUUCGUUUCUGUUUAUAAAAAGAAAGGGAAAGAACCAAUGAUUUCUAAGUCUUCUCCUGGAUCUACAUUUCCAGGAUUCUUUAUUGCAGUGUCAACAAAGGCACCUACUCUGGGGCAGAGACUGUAUUGGGGCUUUACACAUACUGCAUCUAUUUUAUCCUCACAUCUCCUCAGGUUAGAUUUUAAUAUUUCCAACAGUUCUAUGUUUCCUACAAGGAAAAUGCAAGGUGUUGGUGGGCCGGGGCGGGGUGUAAUCUUUCUGAAGUUGUGUAGAUAUAAAAGUCAUCAAUGGAUUUAAACCCAGGCGGCCUGAUUCUCACAUCUCCCCUGGCCUCAAAAUUAUUUCCAUAUUCAUAUGAAAAACCCCAGCCAGUCACAAGAGCCCAUACAGUGUCCAGUGUCUGUCACUAGCAGAAGGAAUGAAAGGGAAUUUAUCUGCAGAAUGAGGAAUUACAACUGGAGUAAAAAGAGAAUGGUCUGAAGGUUUCUAGGCAGCAGAGUCAAAACAAGGACAGCUUCAUGCUUAAAGACACAGAUGGCCAUAGCUCAAAAUGUUUGAUUCUGGUCCAGGCUGGACUUGGAGGCAUAGAUUAGAAGACCUGAAAGCCACUUUUCAUGUUUGAAGAAAAGAAUAAAAGUUAGGAAAUGAAGAUCUGCAGAGUGAGAAGCCAGACCAUUCAUGAUGGUCUUUAUCUUUGUAAAGAUUUUCUUGAUAAUUUUUUUUAAAAAACCAAGUCCCUUAAUUUUAGAGUAUAUCUUUUAUUAAAGAAGCUGUUUCAUAACUAUGUCUCACCUACUUGCAAGAAAAUUAUUUCCACUAGAUAGAAACAUUAUUAACCACAUUAUGUCUAUGAGAAAACUGAGGCCAAGUGAGGAAAGAUGAAAUUAGAAACAUUAUCUCCUGAUGCCCAGAUUCAUAGACUCCAUACCUCACUGAUAUGGCAGAGACUACUGGAUGCCUACCCAAUAGCCUUGUUCCCUUAAUAGAAGAGCCUAGUUUUAUUUGAAGCAGCAAAGCAUCAAGCAAAAAGAUUAUAUUCCCAAGCCUCCCUUUCAACUAGAGUUGAUCAUGCAACCAAGUUCUGGACAGACAGUGAGUACUUUUGUGGGAGAAUUCCAUAAAGUCCUUUUAAAGCAACCUGAGUUAAUGAAGGUGGAUCAUUUGUUCCCUUCUUCUUUUUUUUCUUCCUGCUCCCUGCCGAUGAAAAACUAAAGCUCCAUCCACUAUCGUGGGCUAACAGUGAGCUUGAGUACAAAGCUGUGCAUUAGGAUGAAGAAGAUGAAAUAUAAUGGGAGCCUGGGCUCCUGAGCAUCUCAAGGCUGCCAUACCAACCCUGGCUUGCCUUCUUCUGAAAUUCUCAUAUAUAAGAAAGAAAGAAAUGAUUUUUAUAAAGCCACAUUAUUUGCAGGGCUUCUUUUUUAUGCAGCUAAGCCUAAUCCUAAAGGUUACAAUGAGAUGGCUUAAUUUGAGAAAUGAUGCAGAAAGAAGACACUAUCUGCUAUCAGACCUGGUUCCUUCCCUUGGCCCACAUGGUCAUAAGAAGGAAGGAAGGAAUAAUGAAUGAAACACAGUUCAUCAGAUUGGAAUGCCAUCAACUGCAUGACAUGCUAUAAUUUUAUGCAUCACCAACAAAGAAAAAAAUGUUGCCAAUUAAACUAUGACAUGUCAUUGAUUGUGAGAUGCAAAUCAAUUUCAUAAAUGCUAAAAUGUGAGGGGAAAAAAAGCCAACCUGUGAAAUAUGGUGUGCUGAGGAUUUAGCAAAGCACAGUUAGGAUUUAAAGUUCAUCAGAUCAAUGCAUCCUCCCAUCCCUAUCUUAAAGAACAGGACACCAACACCAAGGUCCAGCAAGGGGCAGUAAUUUGUCCUAUAAAAUUCAGGGAUAGAGACAAGAUGAGAAUCUUGACAGCAAAUUGAGAGCUCUUUAAUAGGUCCCAAUAGAUACCAAAUAUUUGUUUGUGUUACCUUGACCACUAGCAACACGUUUAUUUAAUCAUCCACCUGUUCCUGUUUUUCCCUUUAAAAUAUGCAGUGCUGAAUAGCAGAGGCAAAGGCCCUCACCCCUCCCACACACAAAUGGACUCAGCAGUCACAGGAGAUGAUGCAGACAGAUUUCCCAGUAAAUUCAUGCUCACACAGGGCAUACACCUGAGUCAGUGGCUCUGAAGGAGAUGAAGAACACCAGGUGGCUAUGGAGAACUGCAGGUAGGAGUCUCUGAAACACAGGAAAUUGAGAUGGCAUAGCAGUGGCUGAUGGCUGGGGCCUGAGGAAUAUUCAGCUCAAAUCUCUCCUUCCUUCUCUUACAAGGGAAGAAACACCAUGGUGAAUGGCGCUUUCCCAAGGGAUAUCCAGAACCUAGACUCCCAGUUUAUCAGAGAUGGAGGGCCCAAAGAGAUCAUGCAUCAGUCUAGCCUGCAUUAAAGAUAAAAAUUCUUCUAAUCUCUCAUAAUCUGUUGUGGGUUUUAGAAAGACCAUGCUUCUGACAGUACUGUUGAUUCCGGAGGCAAGGAGUGAAGUAAGAAGGACACUUCAGCCAUCCAGGUAAAGAGAACAGCAGGUCCUGGACUAAAGCAGAAAAGACGGAGUGAGUAGGAAAGAUGGUCCAAUCAAACAUCAACGAAGCUUCAAAAACAUCAAGCUUCUGAAGUCAUUUUCCUGUUCUUGGUACUGUUUCCUCCUCUGUUCCCAAAUAUACCCUAUGCCCUCGCUCUCAACAAAAAAAAAAA